rnacentral:rRNA from 1 species
UCAUUAAAUCAGUUAUCGUUUAUUUGAYAGGGCCUACUUACUUGGAUAACCGUGGUAAUUCUAGAGCUAAUACAUGCUAAAAACCUCGACUUCGGAAGGGGUGUAUUUAUUAGAUAAAAAACCAAUGCCCUCCGGGGCUCCCUGGUGAUUCAUAAUAACUAAACGAAUCGCAUGGCCUUGCGCCGGCGAUGGUUCAUUCAAAUUUCUGCCCUAUCAACUUUCGAUGGUAGGAUAGUGGCCUACCAUGGUGGCAACGGGUAACGGGGAAUUAGGGUUCUAUUCCGGAGAGGGAGCCUGAGAAACGGCUACCACAUCCAAGGAAGGCAGCAGGCGCGCAAAUUACCCAAUCCCGACACGGGGAGGUAGUGACAAUAAAUACUGAUGUGGAGCUCUUUAGGGUUUCACAAUUGGAAUGAGAAAAAUCUAAACCACUUAAACGAGGAACAAUUGGAGGGCAAGUCUGGUGCCAGCAGCCGCGGUAAUUCCAGCUCCAAUAGCGUAUAUUAAAGUUGUUGCAGUUAAAAAGCUCGUAGUUGAACCUUGGGCCUGGCCGGCCGGUCCGCCUCACCGCGUGCACUGGUUCGGCCGGGCCUUUCCUCCUGGGGAACCGCAUGCCCUUCACUGGGUGUGCCGGGGAAUCAGGACUUUUACUUUGAAAAAAUUAGAGUGUUCAAAGCAGGCAUUUGCUCGAAUACAUUAGCAUGGAAUAAUAGAAUAGGACGUUGUGGUUCUAUUUUGUUGGUUUCUAGGACCGCCGUAAUGAUUAAUAGGGACGA